UACGUAGGGGGCAAGCGUUAUCCGGAUUUACUGGGUGUAAAGGGAGCGUAGACGGCAGCACAAGUCUGGAGUGAAAUCCCAUGGCUUAACCAUGGAACUGCUUUGGAAACUGUGCAGCUGGAGUGCAGGAGAGGUAAGCGGAAUUCCUAGUGUAGCGGUGAAAUGCGUAGAUAUCAGGAGGAACACCAGUGGCGAAGGCGGCCUGCUGGGCUUUUACUGACGCUGAGGCUCGAAAGUGUGGGGAGCAAACAGG
rnacentral:rRNA from 1 species